rnacentral:rRNA from 1 species
AUACGGAGGGAGCAAGCGUUAUUCGGAAUCACUGGGCGUAAAGGACGCGUAGGCGGGUUUGUAAGUCAGGUGUGAAAUCCUACAGCUCAACUGUAGAACUGCACUUGAAACUACAGACCUAGAGUAUGGAAGGGGCGGAUGGAAUUAGUGGUGUAGGGGUAAAAUCCGUAGAUAUCACUAGGAAUACCGAAAGCGAAGGCGAUCUGCUGGGACAUUACUGACGCUGAGGCGUGAAAGCGUGGGGAGCAAACAGGAUUAGAAACCCCAGUAGUCC